rnacentral:rRNA from 1 species
AUGAUUACCGUGCUAUGCAACUUCCAUUCGCCGGGGGGGGACUGUGUUUACACAUCAUACCAUGGGUUUCAUGAAUCACCAUAUCUAGAGAUUCGUCGACACAGCUUGUUACUGAGCCAUGUAUUCUGCUGCUUAGCACGACCCUCUUUUGUUGGACUGUUGUUAUACCAUAUAACUGGAAUUAACCCAUGCAAGUCGAAGAAGGAUUGGUCGGUGUUGCCGGCUGGCGUCAAGUUCGAUCCCACGGAUCAGGAGCUGAUCGAGCACAUUGAGGCCAAAGUGAGUGCUGACAGCGCGAGAUCUCACCCUCUCAUCGAUUUGUUCAUACAAACCAUCGACAGCGAGCAUGGCAUAUGCUACACCCAUCCUGAGAAAUUUCCAGGUAUCACACUGAGUGGCCUAAGCAAGCAUUUCUUCCAGCGCAAUUCCAGGGCGUUCAAAAGGGGCACGUCGACGCGUCGCAAGAUACAGUCGGAGUGCGGCAUGCACGCGAUGUGGCACAACACCGGCAAUACCUUGCCGGUGAUGAUCAACGGCCGGCAGACGGGUAGCAAAAUGGUUCUAGUGCUGCACACCAACAAGAACUUCGACCAGCAGAGGACCAACUGGGUGAUGCACCAGUACUACCUCGGGGACCUGGAGCAAGAGAAGGAGCAGGAGCUGGUCCUCUGCAAGAUUUUCUACCAGACGAACACUAGGGCCAGGAAUAAAAAGAUUAUAAGUUAG